rnacentral:rRNA from 1 species
GUAGUCUCGCACAGGAUGCAUAUCAAUAAGCGGAGGAAAAGAAACUAACAAGGAUUCCCUCAGUAACGGCGAGUGAAGCGGGAAGAGCUCAAAUUUGAAAUCUUGAAAGGUCACCUUUCACGAAUUGUAGUUUAAAGAAGUGUUUUCUGUUACGAUCGUAAUAUAAGUUCUUUGGAAUAGGACAUCACAGAGGGUGAGAAUCCCGUCUAUGAUUGCGAUUUGUAGCUUUGUGAUACACUUUCAAAGAGUCGGGUUGUUUGGGAAUGCAGCCCAAAACGGAGGUAAAUUUCUUCUAAGGCUAAAUAUUGGCGAGAGACCAAUAGCGAACAAGUACCGUGAGGGAAAGAUGAAAAGAACUUUGAAAAGAGAGUUAAAUAGUACGUGAAAUUGUCAAAAGGGAAGCGUUUAACACCAGUGUUGUUUUCUGAAAAUCAACCUCUGUUAGCUUUAUGCAUGUUUGUUUAGACCUAAUCAGCUAUCUUGCAUGUUCUAUUGUUUGCAGUGGUGCACUUUCAGUUUACAGGUCAACAUCAGUUUUUUUUACCGUAAAAAAGUUAAAGAAAGGUAGCUCAUGGCUCCGGUCGUGAGUGUUAUAGUCUUUUUCCUAUGCGGUAGGAGAGACUGAGGUCUGCAGUGUAGGCUAUUUGGCUAGAUACUCAGGUGCUAUGUGAUACCAUUUCAUAAACAACUUAUUGAUUAUGUUUUGUCUAUUGCAUACUCGCUUGUACUAUCAUACCUACGCUUAGGAUGUUGAAGAUGUAGCACAUCAU